AUGAACGCUAGCGGCAGGCUUAUACAUGCAAGUCGAGGGGCAGCACGGGUAGCAAUACCUGGUGGCGACCGGCAAACGGGUGCGGAACACGUACGCAACUUUCCCAAAACUGGUGAAUAGCCCUCCGAAAGGAGGAUUAAUACACCGUAACAUAAUGAAGUGGCAUCACUUUAUUAUUAUAGCUCCGGCGGUUUUGGAUGGGCGUGCGCCUGAUUAGGUAGUUGGCGGGGUAACGGCCCACCAAGCCUGCGAUCAGUAACUGGUGUGAGAGCACGACCAGUCACACGGGCACUGAGACACGGGCCCGACUCCUACGGGAGGCAGCAGUAAGGAAUAUUGGUCAAUGGACGAAAGUCUGAACCAGCCAUGCCGCGUGAAGGAUGAAGGUCCUCUGGAUUGUAAACUUCUUUUAUCUGGGACGAAAAAAGGGAAUUCUUUCUCACUUGACGGUACCAGAGGAAUAAGCACCGGCUAACUCCGUGCCAGCAGCCGCGGUAAUACGGAGGGUGCAAGCGUUAUCCGGAUUCACUGGGUUUAAAGGGAGCGUAGGUGGGUCUGUAAGUCAGUGGUGAAAUCUCCGAGCUUAACUCGGAAACUGCCAUUGAUACUAUAGGUCUUGAAUUAUCUGGAGGUAAGCGGAAUAUGUCAUGUAGCGGUGAAAUGCUUAGAUAUGACAUAGAACACCGAUUGCGAAGGCAGCUUACUACGGAUAUAUUGACACUGAGGCUCGAAAGCGUGGGGAUCAAACAGGAUUAGAUACCCUGGUAGUCCACGCCCUAAACGAUGGAUACUCGACAUCAGCGAUACAC
rnacentral:rRNA from 1 species